CGCGUAGGUGGUUUGUUAAGCGAGAUGUGAAAGCCCCGGGCUUAACCUGGGAACGGCAUUUCGAACUGGCAGACUAGAGUGUGGUAGAGGGUAGUGGAAUUUCCUGUGUAGCGGUGAAAUGCGUAGAUAUAGGAAGGAACACCAGUGGCGAAGGCGGCUACCUGGACCAACGCUGACACUGAAGUGCGAAAGCGUGGGGAGCAAACA
rnacentral:rRNA from 1 species